UGUCAUCUUAAACUUGAUUGUGAAGUUCUGUUUUGGUGAUGAUGAAGGCCUCACUGUAGUUUAAAGAUAAAGAACCAGAUGGUAAUAUUUUAAAAGAAUAAACCACUUGUAAGAAAAUUGGAAUACUUGUGCAUGAUUUUGAAUAAAUUUUUAGUAUUCUCAAAAAGACAGUCACAAUAUAUUCUAAAGAAAUGAUCUUGAAAAGUCCUUUUUAAUCUAUUUUAUUGCUAAUUGUAUAAUUUGCUGACAAGAUGUUAAUAAAUUGAAAAUGUACCAAUUGACAUUAUCAAAGAGCACAAUAGUCAAGACAAAUAGCUUCUUUUUCAUCUCAUGUCUGUGCACUUUAAUUUGUUCAAUCUACUUUGUGCAGAAGGAUAGAUCACAUCUACCAACGUCAUCAUAAAUAAUCUUAAGAAAACAUUUGUGUGUUACAUAAUUUGUUUACAUCACUCAUGCAACACUUGAAUAACUGUUAAUACAAUGUAAAUAAUCUGGUGUUGAACCCUUCUUUAUUUCUUUUCAAUGAAUAUUACAAAUUAAUAUACGAAGGGAGAUAACUCAUUUGUCCAACGGUAUUUUUCUUUUG
rnacentral:lncRNA from 1 species